rnacentral:lncRNA from 1 species
CCUGCUUCAUUGUUCAUCACAGGGCCCUUUUAAAGGGUUAAACACUUGAUUAGAGAAGGAUUAGGAGUCCUAAAUAAAGCUAGAUAACUCCUAGAUCGUCGGAUCAAGAUCGGGAGCCACCCACACCCUCAAAUCGCUUUCCGAUCCUUGGAAUAGUGCCAUGAACCACAAGAAAUGCGUGGAAAAUGCCCACGCGGUCCACAGGCCCAGCCGUGGACC